GAGAUUGGGCUUGACAUCCCACGAACCUGCCGAAAGGCAGGAGUGUCCGCAAGGGAGCGCAGAGACAGGUGGUGCAUGGCUGUCGUCAGCUCGUGUCGUGAGAUGUUGGGUUAAGUCCCGCAACGAGCGCAACCCUCACCCUUUGUUGCCAUCAGGUUAUGCUGGGCACUCUAAGGGAACUGCCUCGGUUAACGAGGAGGAAGGUGGGGACGACGUCAAGUCAUCAUGCCCCUUACGCUCUGGGCUACACACGUGCUACAAUGGCCAAUACAAAGGGCUGCAAACCCGCGAGGGCAGGCCAAUCCCAAGAAAUUGGUCUCAGUUCAGAUUGUAGGCUGCAACCCGCCUGCAUGAAGGAGGAAUCGCUAGUAAUCGUGGAUCAGCAUGCCACGGUGAAUACGUUCCCGGGCCUUGUACACACCGCCCGUCACACCACGAAAGUCUGCUGUACUCGAAGUCGCUGAGA
rnacentral:rRNA from 1 species